rnacentral:rRNA from 1 species
CUACGGGGGGCACCAGUGAGGAAUAUUGCACAAUGGGGGAAACCCUGAUGCAGCAACGCCGCGUGGAGGAUGACGCAUUUCGGUGUGUAAACUCCUUUUAUGAGUCAAGAAAAUGACGGUAGCUCAUGAAUAAGCACCGGCUAACUCCGUGCCAGCAGCCGCGGUAAUACGGAGGGUGCAAGCGUUACUCGGAAUCACUGGGCGUAAAGGACGCGUAGGCGGGUUGGAAAGUCAGGUGUGAAAUCCUACAGCUUAACUGUAGAACUGCACUUGAAACUUCUAAUCUAGAGUAUGGGAGGGGGAGAUGGAAUUAGUGGUGUAGGGGUAAAAUCCGUAGAUAUCACUAGGAAUACCUAAAGCGAAGGCGAUCUCCUGGAACAUUACUGACGCUAAGGCGUGAAAGCGUGGGGAGCAAACAGGGUUAGAUACCCCAGUAGUC